GACGAACGCUGGCGGCAUGCUUAACACAUGCAAGUCGAACGGAACGGCCCUGCUUUUUUGGGGUGCUCGAGGGGCGAACGGGUGAGUAACACGUAAGUAACCUGCCAUUGACUUUGGGAUAACUUCAGAAAACUGGAGCUAAUACCGGAUAGGAGCUCCUGCUGCAGGGUGGGGGUUGGAAAGUUUCGCCGGUUGGGGAUGGACUCGCGGCUUAUCAGCUUGUUGGUGGGGUAGUGGCUUACCAAGGCUUUGCCGGGUAGCCUGCCUGAGAGGGUGACCGGCCCCAUCACGCCUGAGCUACGACCCAGCCUCCAACCGGACGCAGCGGUGGAGAAUAGUAUACUAUAGGCUGAAGCCUGAUGCGGCCACGCCGCGUGGGGUAUGACGUCCUUCGGGUUGUGAUCCACUGUCGUUUUUGACGAAGCGUGAGUGACGGUAAUGGGUAAAUAAGCACCGGCUAACUACGUG
rnacentral:rRNA from 1 species